CUUCUCCGACGCAGGCGGAUUUUUGAACCAACAAUAUUUAAUCCAAACUUUAAUGCUCAAUCAAAUUGAGUUAAUUAACAAUCUACUCACUAAUUAAUUUUUUUAAUUUAUCAAUAAUUAAUGAAUUAAUUUAUUGUAACUUUUGGAUAAAGUAAUCAUCAAUCAAAUUAACGAUUAGACACUAGAAUGAUUCUCAAUUAUUGAUUAGCCACAUGAUCAGUCGAAAAUUUUUUUUGAGUGUAACUCUAUAAGUUCGAACC
rnacentral:lncRNA from 1 species